rnacentral:tmRNA from 1 species
GGUCUGGCAGAAUGCCCAACAACGCUCUAUAUUGAUUGAGCCGGGCAACCGGCUAUGGCGCUAAACGCCUUAUGGAAUAAGCGUUACGGACCCGGGGGCGGUACCCGGCGCCUCCACCAUAAUGAUUUUCCACCGCCAGGACAUGGCUCUGGGAAACAGCUGCUAUGGGGGCGAAACAGGAUCGACGUGCGUAGUAAAGAUAGGGUUUGUGCUCGGCAUUGUACCACCGUUACCGGGCUAUCAAUACAAGUGCCAACGAUAAUCUCGUGGCUCUCGCUGCCUAAUUAGGCAAGCGCGGUUCGAGGGGCACCGGGCAACAGAAGCUCCUCACU